GGGAUUCGAUUUACAAAUCUUACUUAAGGAGAGAGAAAACUAACAGGCAACACAUAAAACUAAGCCUCCAGAUUAUUUAUACUCUACCUUUCAAAGCCGCAAGGUAAGGCCAUUAAAAAUUGCAAUGGAAAAACAGAUGCGUUUCAGUGUAAACAAUAACAAAAUUUUUUGGCAUUGGAAAUGGCUGGAAACGUGCUUUGGCAUUUGUUCGUUAUUGUUGUUGUUGCUGAACAGCCUUCACUAAUAAACCGUUAUGCAAUGUGCCAAAGCAGAUAACAAAGCAGAAAGAGCAAGACAACAACAACAACAACAGCAACAACAAAAACAAAAACAACAGCUGCAAACUGUAAUUGAAGCUUUGUCUGGAAAUGAAUGGAAGCCAAGUCGCAUUUGGACUUUGGAGCCGACUCGAACUGAGAGUGGGAAAUUUGAAGUGAAUUAACGGUUAACGAAUUAACUCUUAAAGGGCUAUGUACGUUUUGAGUAACGGUAAACCGGAGAACUUUUUAGGACUAAACGUUAUUUAUGUGGCAUAACCGGAGGAUUAUGG